ACGCUGGCGGCGUGCCUAAUACAUGCAAGUAGAACGCUGAAGGAGGAGCUUGCUUCUCCGGAUGAGUUGCGAACGGGUGAGUAACGCGUAGGUAACCUGCCUGGUAGCGGGGGAUAACUAUUGGAAACGAUAGCUAAUACCGCAUAAGAGUAGGUGUUGCAUGACAUUUGCUUAAAAGGUGCAAUCGCAUCACUACCAGAUGGACCUGCGUUGUAUUAGCUAGUUGGUGGGGUAACGGCUCACCAAGGCGACGAUACAUAGCCGACCUGAGAGGGUGAUCGGCCACACUGGGACUGAGACGCGGCCCAGACUCCUACGGGAGGCAGCAGUAGGGAAUCUUCGGCAAUGGACGGAAGUCUGACCGAGCAACGCCGCGUGAGUGAAGAAGGUUUUCGGAUCGUAAAGCUCUGUUGUAAGAGAAGAACGAGUGUGAGAGUGGAAAGUUCACACUGUGACGGUAUCUUACCAGAAAGGGACGGCUAACUACGUGCCAGCAGCCGCGGUAAUACGUAGGUCCCGAGCGUUGUCCGGAUUUAUUGGGCGUAAAGCGAGCGCAGGCGGUUAGAUAAGUCUGAAGUUAAAGGCUGUGGCUUAACCAUAGUACGCUUUGGAAACUGUUUAACUUGAGUGCAAGAGGGGAGAGUGGAAUUCCAUGUGUAGCGGUGAAAUGCGUAGAUAUAUGGAGGAACACCGGUGGCGAAAGCGGCUCUCUGGCUUGUAACUGACGCUGAGGCUCGAAAGCGUGGGGAGCAAACAGGAUUAGAUACCCUGGUAGUCCACGCCGUAAACGAUGAGUGCUAGGUGUUAGACCCUUUCCGGGGUUUAGUGCCGCAGCUAACGCAUUAAGCACUCCGCCUGGGGAGUACGACCGCAAGGUUGAAACUCAAAGGAAUUGACGGGGGCCCGCACAAGCGGUGG
rnacentral:rRNA from 1 species